CUUUAUGAAAGUUGGUCAGAAUGUUCAUCUUGAUGAUAUCUAGGUCAAGUUCGAAACUGGGUCAUGUGCCAUCAAAAACUAGGUCAGUAGGUCUAAAAAUAGAAAAACCUUGUGACCUCUCUAGAGGCCAUAUAUUUCAUAAGAUCUUCAUGAAAAUUGGUCAGAAUGUUCACCUUGAUGAUACCUAGGUCAAGUUUGAAACUGGGUCACGUAGGGUCAAAAACUAGGUCAUUAGGUCUAAAAAUAGAAAAACCUUGUGACCUCUCUAGAGGCCAUAUUUCUUUAUGGAUCUUCAUGAAAAUUGGUCAGAAUGUUCACCUUGAUGAUAUCUAGGUCAAGAUCGAAACUGGGUCACGUGGGGUUAAAAACUAGGUCAGUAGAUCUAAAAAUAGAAAAACCUUGUGACCUCUCUAGAGGCCAUAUUUUUCAUGAGAUCUUCAUGAAUAUUGGUCAGAAUGUUCACCUUGAUGAUAUCUAGAUCAAGUUCGAAACUGGGUCAUGUGGGGUCAAAAACUAGGUCAGUAGAUCUAAAAAUAGAAAAACCUUGUGACCUCUCUAGAGGCCAUAUUUCUCAAUGGAUCUUCAUGAAAAUUGGUCAGAAUGUUCACCUUGAUGAUAUCUAGGUCAAGUUCGAAACUGGGUCACGUGCGGUCAAAAAUUAGGUCAGUAGGUCUAAAAAUAGGAAAACCUUGUGACCUCUCUAGAGGCGAUAUUUUUCAAUGGAUCUUCAUGAAUAUUGGUCAGAGUGUUUACUUUGAAGAUAUCUAGGUCAAGUUCGAAACUGGGUCACGUGGGGUUAAAAACUAGGUCAGUAGAUAUAAAAAUAGAAAAAUCUUGUGACCUCUCUAGAGGCCAUAUUUUUCAUGAGAUCUUCAUGAUUAUUGGUCAGAAUGUUCACCUUGAUGAUAUCUAAGUCAAGCUCGAAACUGGGUCACGUGGGGUUAAAAACUAGGUCAGUAGGUCUAAAAAUAGAAAAAACCUUGUGACCUCUCUAGAGGCCAUAUUUCUCAACGGAUCUUCAUGAAAAUUGGUGAGAAUGUUCAGCUUGAUGAUAUCUAGGUCAGGUUUGUAACUGGGUCAUGUGCGGUCAAAAACUAGGUCAGUAGGUCGAAAAAUAGAAAAACCUUGUGACCUCUCUAGAGGCCAUAUUUUUCACGAGAUCUUCAUGAAAAUGGUGAGAAUGUUCACCUUGAUGAUAUCUAGGUCAAGUUUAAAAGUGGGUCACGUGCCUUCAAAAACUAGGCCAUUAGGUCAAAUAAUAGAAAAACCUUGUGACCUCUCUAGAGGCCAUAUUUUUCAAUGGAUCUUCAUGAAAAUUGGUCAGAAUUUUUUAUCUUGAUGAUAUCUAGGUCACAUGUGCUCAAAAACUAGGUCACUAUGUCAAAUAAUAGAAAUAAUGACGUCAUACUCAGUUCAACACUGGGUCAUGUGGGGAUAGGUGAGCGAUUCAGGACCAUCAUGGUCCUCUUGUUUACAGAACUGGGCCUGUUGUUUAAUUUUUUAUUCACUCAAAUGUUCAUGUCAUCUGCUUAAUUGCAAACUUAAACGGUUUGAUAGUUGACUGACCAAUGUUACACGCUUGUUAUGAAAACAAUCUAAUUUUGACACGGUACUGAUUGCCUAAUUGUCACAUGUCUACAUGUAUUGAAAUUUUAACAAAGGCGAUACGCAAACAAGUAAGCUAGCAGACAACUAUUUAUUUUUGUCACAGUUGUCAUGGCAAAGGUGUUAAAUGACAGGUACAUGUAGUUUUAAUGCUGGUUAUGAUCAAAUUAAACAACAUCCGCGGACUCAUUUUUUUUUUUUUUUUACUCCCGAAAAUUCCGGAGCCAAGAACCUACCACGUUAUAACAAAUACUGCGGUAUAUCGAGUAGUAUUAUAAGGGGUUUCGAAUGUACAUUGUACUGAAGUAACUGAUCAAUAUAUUUUCAAACAAUUUCAGAAAUGACAAUCACAUUUGGUAAUUGUUUUACAAAUAAAAUGUCAGGUCUGAACUGAUGCAAGGCCUAAAAAAAAAAUGUCUGUUUCCUGUAACCCGACCGACCGUACGUUUUAACCACCGACCGCAUUUUUUUUACGGGCCUAAAUACAGGGUUCUCAUACCUACAUCAAUUUAAGCAGUAAUUUAGUGGUAUCCGACCAUGCGCCCAUAGUAACAAAUGUUUCCACUUCUGCCGAGGAUGAAUCAACAUGGCGAAAAGCUUAUUUGCAGUCACUAUCACCUGUCCAAAGAUGGACAACAAAAUAAUAAAGGUGGUUGUGCCAGUCGAUCACAAUCAAAGAGUAGACGCCUUCUAUUCCUUCGUACAUAAAGACAAGCCAUGCCCAAAAAUACACUGCUAACUGCUCGACCAACAUUGAAGGAGAUAGAGCUUUUGAAGUGUCCCCGGACCUGAUUUUAGCAGACUUGAAGACUGUUGGGGACAUGAGGGCGGUGACAUACCAGUGUGCAAAAGAACCUGAUGAAAUACCUUUGGAGUCUGGAAAAAGCUCUGCUGCUGUCGUUAAUGCUUUUUAUAUCCUCAUGGAUGGAGAAAAGGUCAACAUUAAACAGAAGACAACCUGUCACAACAUGAAGAAUGAGCUAUACAAUGAUAUGGUCAAGCUCAUGACACAGCAGAACCUCAAAAUGCACAUAUGGAGUGUUUCAGAUUAAUGAGAAUAUGUAGUUCAGGUGAUCACUAGUGCUCUUUGGUGUCUGACAAAUCACCAUCUUACCAUAAAUGAUGCAGCCAAAACAUCUAGAGAUGCCAUACCAGUGCCAGAGCUGUUUGAAAAAUUCCAAGGAUAUAAUGAUUUUAAAAGAAAUUAAACUGAAAAGUCAGCCCAUUUUACAAGAAUUGUGACAGUCAUGCAAAUGCUUUAAUGAAUAUUGUAACAAGGCCUGUUUUCCACAGUGAUGUAACAUUGGCAGCAGUUCAAGGAAGAUAUUGACAAUCUUGCAAGCUGUUUUGCUCACUAUAAAAUGUAUUUAGAGAAUAGAUUAAAAAAUCAAACUCUCAGACAGGGUCUGUUAAACCCCCCUAGAACUGUUGGAAAUGACAUUUCUGUAGAAUUUCGGGCCAAAACUCCUUAUGUGUAUGAGAAAUACAAGUUGUUUGAUGAGGAAAUAAAAAAUUGUGACUUUU